CACAGACAGGCGCGCGUCGGUGCGCGCGGCCAUCCUGGCCUCGCGCAGGUCUCGGCGGCUGCGUUUGAAAAGCAGCUUCCAUGUGACAAUCAGAUACGUUAUGGCCUUGACUCACGCGACCUCAUCUCCCCAAAUGAAGUCAUCUGUCCCGCCAGGGAAGACAAACCUUCGUUCCAGAGAAUCCAUCAGCCCCAUCCAAGGCCCUCUCUGGUCCUUCGCUCCGGCCAGGGAGCCAGCGAGUGAGCGGUGAUCAACCUGACGGGCCCUGGGCAGGCCCUUCGCCUGCCCCUAAAUCACAAAGGAGCCAGAUGACUCCGCGAAACACCGGCUGCUACUGUCCAAGCGUGGCCUGGCGUGACAUCACCUUUGGACUUGGGGGGCUUGUUUCGGAGCAAGGUCUCUCCUGAGAACAGACCCCGCGGCAUUCCAGGGGACGCUGGGAGUUUCUCCUUGUGGUUACUAAACUCUUUAACUCCUGCCAGGAGACUCUUGCUGUUGGCCCACUCUGUGCGGGAGACACCAGCGGGGCCUGGGGAUGUGAGAGACAAACACGGCACAGUGAUGCCUCCAAUGAACGUGCAGCCGAGGGACACAGCCGGGCACUUCCUCCUGGGCUCUCCCAGCACCUUGUGUGACCUCCUCUCCACGUGGCUGCAGCCCUCACUCCGUGUCUGACACACUAGAGGUUUUGCCGAGUCUCCCUUUCUGGCUGAAUUUUGAACUCCUUGGAAGCAGGCAUAGAGACUCUUUGCUAAUGUAAUCCCAGGCCCCUGGCUCAGAGCCUGGCCCAAGGUGGCUGUUCCCUGGACCACCUACAGGGAAUUCCUUUAAUAUUUUGAAAACUGGUAAAACAAGCUGGCGCCUGGAUAUUCGCUGGAGUAAAGUUAUUUCUUUGAUGAAGAUUUCCAGCUAAUAAAUAAAUAAAGAAGAAUAUUGGAAUUGAAAUAUUACUACUUUGUGAACCCUAAUGAGUGAGUGGAUUUAGGCAACGGUCAUCAGUAGCUAGUAACAUCACAUAAAGAGAGACAACAGACGCCGUAUAACUCUCAGUGGACGACUACAGUGCUGCACGUGACAUGACCUUGCAGAAGCACGUGGAACUUAGAGCCGACCAAGCCUUGGGACACACCCACCAAUGUCCAAGUCAUUCACAAGACAGAUAGGCGUGUCAAUGACCUGCAGAUUCAAUCAGCAAAUCCAGAUCGUGGACGACUCUAACAAACAGAGGAGCUGGCUUCUAAGGUGCAACCCUUCCUCAAGAAAAUGUGACUUGAGAGAGACAGAGACUGAGAGAGAGACAAAUCUAAAGGUUAAAGGAGACUUCGGUGACAGAACAAGCAUUGCAAAGUGAAGAAGUUGAUUGAGCCUGAGAUGAGGUUACCGAAAGAUGGGCAGCCCUGGUGUGCGGCGAGAAGUCAAAGACCCACUGCAGAAGUCAUAUUCCAAUGUGAGUGACCGAAGGGGACCUCAUGGAGGACUUGGGCGAGGAAUGUUCCAGGCAGAGGACAUGACAAGUGUGGAGUCGCCCAGAUUAUCCAACACCAUCCAGGAAAUAACCCUGAAAAGCCUUGGAAAGCACCACUCAGACGCUUUCCAAUCCACUUGAUCAGCUGGGGCACGAUGUCUAGUUUGCAACCGAGAACAUGGUUGCUUUGAACAUGAUGUUAAUUUUCAGUAGGAGCGCUCCCCUUGAAAAUGGAGAUGUGUGUGCAAGCCUUAUGCUUAGGAUUAAAAUUUCAAGUGUUUUUAAGAUUUUGAUUAAAAUCAGUUUAAUUAAAAAAAUGUUAAUUGCC